rnacentral:misc_RNA from 1 species
GAUGAAGAACGUAGCGAAAUGCGAUAAGUAAUGUGAAUUGCAGAAUUCAGUGAAUCAUCGAAUCUUUGAACGCACCUUGCGCUCUUUGGUAUUCCGAAGAGCAUGCCUGUUUGAGUGUCAUGAAAAUAUCAACCUUGACUUGGGUUUCGUGCUCUAGUCUCGGCUUGGAAUUGGGUGCUUGCCGCUUUUACGAGCGGCUCACCUUAAAUGUAUUAGCUGGAUCUGUCUUUGAGACUUGGUUUGACUUGGCGUAAUAAGUAUUUCGCUAAGGACAUUCUUCGGAGUGGCCUCGUUUCUAGGACGCUUGUCCGCUUUCCAAUACAAGUUCCACCUCGUGGACAUGACUUUUUAUUAUCUGGCCUCAAAUCAGGUAGGACUACCCGCUGAACUUAAGCAUAUCAAUAAGCGGAGGA